rnacentral:pre_miRNA from 1 species
AUUGGAUCCGGCACAGUGUACAGUUUUGCGGUACAAAUCGCGAUUGAGAAGGCGAGCCGUAAUGCAGGCGUAUGUACGUAACAAUCGCAACGGUUCGAUGUCAGCGGGGUUUAUCGAGCUAGAAGGUACGGCCUUGGUCU